GUCGGCGAGCCCGCGCCGCCCAGGCCUUCCCCGGCUCCCUGGGACAGAUGGGGAGGCUGAGGCCCAGAAGGGGGCUGAGACCACCUCCCAAUUUCCCCAGCGAGGUGGCGCCUGAGCCGCGGCCAGGCCCGGCCUCUUUCCACCCGGCCCUGCUGUGCGCGCGGCAGGUGCUGACCUGGCGAGGCCGGACAGGGGACCAGGUCGGGGUGACCGUCACUGACACCUGGACAGUCCUCGUUGCGUUCGGGGUGGGAGGCCCACGGAAGACAUCAACACAGGAGACUCCCAAGACUGCUAGGGCCAAAUGUGGGGGGUGGACGUCUCCCCGCCACCCAGCAAGCCGUCAGCUCUGCAGCGGACACCAGCCGGGUGUCCUCCAACACCAUUCCGGUACCUGCAGAUAGCGUCAGAUCCCACAGGGUGAGCACUUAGCCCCAAGACACCUACACACACACACACACACACACACACACACACACACACGAGCUGUGAGGGCCAGCCUCUGGAACUUCUCACCGACUGGCCCGACGUUGAGGUUCCCACUGUUAGAGGAACCCCUGCUCACCAGGCCUCUGGUUUAAUGAAACAUGACCAGAGUGACUCCAUCUUGAAGUGAGUGGGAGGCACUCACAAGGCACCUAUAAGGUUAAUGCUUAUGGUUUAAAAAUAGCCACGUCCCAAGCUGGACACCAAUUAUAAUUACAGAAUAUUUGUGGCCAUAUGGGGCAUCUCCCAGCAAGCCUGCAGACUGUCCAGAUA
rnacentral:lncRNA from 1 species